GAUGAACGCUGGCGGCGUGCCUAAUACAUGCAAGUCGAGCGAACAGACGAGGAGCUUGCUCCCCUGACGUUAGCGGCUGACGGGUGAGUAACACGUUGAUAACCUACCUAUAAGACUGGGAUAACUUCGGGAAACCGGAGCUAAUACCGUAUAAUAUAUUGAACCUCAUGGUUCAAUAGUGAAAGACGGUUUUGCUGUCUCUCAUCGAUGGCUCCGCGCCGCAUUAGCUAGUUGGUAAUGUAUCGGCUUACCAAGGCAACGAUGCGUAGCCGACCUGAGAGGGUGAGCGGCCACACUGAAAGUGACACACGGUCCAGACUCCUACGAGAGGCAGCAGUAGGAAAUCUUCCGAAGGGGGCGAGAGCCUGACGGAGCAACGGCGCGUGAGUGAUGGAGGUCUUCGGAGCGUAAAACUCUGUUAUGAGGGAAGAACAAAUGUGUAAGUAACUAUGCACGUCUGGACGGUACCUAAUCAGAAAGCCACGGCUAACUACGU
rnacentral:rRNA from 1 species